UGAGGAAAGUCAUAGUGGCUAUGAAGUUGGCUUGAAACUAACUAUAGGAGGUUCGAUUCCUUCCUUUCUUGG
rnacentral:tRNA from 1 species